rnacentral:rRNA from 1 species
AGCAGUCGCCGCGGUAAUACGAAGGGUGCAAGCGUUAAUCGGAAUUACUGGGCGUAAAGCGUGCGUAGGCGGUGAGCUAAGUCUGCUGUGAAAUCCCCGGGCUCAACCUGGGAAUGGCAGUGGAUACUGGCUCGCUAGAGUGUGUCAGAGGAUGGUGGAAUUCCCGGUGUAGCGGUGAAAUGCGUAGAGAUCGGGAGGAACACCAGUGGCGAAGGCGGCCAUCUGGGACAACACUGACGCUGAGGCACGAAAGCGUGGGGAGCAAACGGGAUUAGAGACCCGUGUAGUCCCUGUCUCUUAUAC